AGAGAGAGAGAGAGAGAAAAAAAGAGAAGAGCAAUGAUCCUGAAAUAACAGCACAUCCAUAGGAAGACACAAUGUGGAAAAGGGAAGGAACGGCUUGUGGUCAGGCUUGUGCCAGAUAGGAAGAUGAGGACCCCAAAUAUACAUCUGAAGAGGAAGAGAGGAGAAUAAACAGAUACAAUGAAAAGAUCAAGGUCAUAACGAGGGAAAGUAUAGUGUGUUGGAGGUGUCUGUGUUGGAGGUGUCUGUGUUGGAGGUGUCUGUGUUGGAGGUGUCUGUGUUGGAGGUGUCUGUGUUAGAGGUGUCUGUGUUGGAGGUGUCUGUGUUGGAGGUGUCUGUGUUGGAGGUGUCUGUGUUGGAGGUGUCUGUGUUGGAGGUGUCUGUGUUGGAGGUGUCUGUGUUGGAGGUGUCUGUGUUGGAGGUGUCUGUGUUGGAGGUGUCUGUGUUGGAGGUGUCUGUGUUGGAGGUGUCUGUGUUGGAGGUGUCUGUGUUGGAGGUGUCUGUGUUGGAGGUGUCUGUGUUGGAGGUGUCUGUGUUGGAGGUGUCUGUGUUGGAGGUGUCUGUGUGGUGUGUGUCUGUGUUGGAGGUGUCUGUGUGGGAGGUGUCUGUGUGGUGUGUGUCUGUGUUGGAGGUGUCUGUGUGGGAGGUGUCUGUAUGGGGUGCUGGGCAGAGCAGAGCAGAGAGACACCAGAGAGACAGAGGUUAACCUGCAUACUGUUGUCUCUCAGCAGGUAUAAUUGAUGUUAGCAUGGCCAACAUUACCACUGUCCUGAACCAUGAAUCUGUCUGUGUGGGGCUGUGGUUACUUCAACAGGUAAUUACAGGGCUGCUCCAUGUCACGCACACACACACACACA